rnacentral:rRNA from 1 species
UACGUAGGGUCCGAGCGUUGUCCGGAAUUAUUGGGCGUAAAGAGCUCGUAGGCGGUCUGUCGCGUCGGAUGUGAAAACCCAGGGCUCAACCCUGGGCCUGCAUUCGAUACGGGCAGACUAGAGUUCGGUAGGGGAGACUGGAAUUUACGGUGUAGCGGUGAAAUGCGUAGAUAUCGUAAGGAAGACCAGUGGCGAAGGCGGGUCUCUGGACAGUUCCUGACGCUGAGGAGCGAAAGCGUGGGGGAGCGAACAGG